rnacentral:lncRNA from 1 species
CUGGAGUUCAGACAGGUGAGUCAUCUUGCCCAAAGUCACAUGACUAAUAUGUGGCAGAACUGGAAUGUGAGGAGAUCUAACUCCAAAAUGGACUAUAGUAUGUUACAAUGAUUCUCAACCUCCAUCAGACUCUGUCCAGGAAAUAAACUGUGAAGCUACACCUGAAACCACCAAACCCAUCUCAAACUCAAUGAUCUUUUACAUUUUACCUCUUUUUUUUUUUUUUGUAGCAUUUCUGUGGUCCUGCUGGUUAUGCCAACUUUAUCCCAGCUACCUGAAGGAUCGUCGUGCUGGAGAAGACAUGCCUCUCUGUGUGGAGACCCACCUGACCAAGGCUCAACUUUGUGAACAUAACGGUUGGAGGAACUGCCCCUCAGACUGUUCAACUUGCUCAGAAAAGUGGCCUUCCUUUGGCUGGGGAAUGGAGGGGCUUGACCAGAAAAAGAGGCUGAGAGCUGCUUCUCUUACCAGGGACCUUCCCCAAGCCAGGCAUCUCCAGAGAUGGUGUGGAGCCUGGGGUAGCUUGUCCAGGCCUUUGAUCACCAGUGAUGCCAUUGCUUUUCCCCAUUUCAUGUCUGCUGUGGCUUGCUGCUGAGGCUGCUUUCAGACCUCCGGAAUCAGAAAAGGAGGUGACUAUAUCAG